rnacentral:lncRNA from 10 species
CUCAAAGGCAAUAACAGGCAAAGUUUUGAUUACAUUAUCUAAGGGCCAGAGCUCAAAGGAAUGUGCUCUGAAGACUCUCCCAGCACUCCCUCAACAUAAGGAUAUGAGGAGAUCACAUUCUCCUAUCUCUCCUUUGAGUGUGAGGGACUCUGUUGGGUCCUGCAUACGAAUGGAACCACUGAUGCCAGCUGGUCUGAAGGACCCCACAGGAGCUGACUCACCGAAGAACACAGCUUGUACACCCUGAUGGUUUCAUCCUCCUUAUCCUGACCAAUCAACAACCUCAAUCUUCUAUCCCUCACCCUCCACAAUCUCCUUAAAAACCCCAGCUCAGAACUCCUCCGGAAGAUGGGUUUGGGGGUCUCCACUCAUCCCUUGCUCCAUCCCUGUGAUCAUUAAAC